AUAUAUAAAUCACAAA
rnacentral:sRNA from 1 species